rnacentral:tRNA from 1 species
GUAGAUAUAAUUUAAUGAAAAUAUUAGAUUGUGAUUCUAAAAAUAGGGGUUAAACCCCCCUUGUCCACC